AAGAAGGGACAGCUCCUUCUCAUCUCCCGUCUCUCGUUGGCCAAAGUUGGCUCCGGAAGGGUGAACCCCUCUGCGCAUCUUCUGGAUGUGGGGCGCAGACCCCGGCUGAUGGCUCACAGCACAGUGCUCCACCUGAGCCUGGACGUGGCAGGGAGCCGGAGCCUGGGUCUGCUCUGGUGGGACGGGGGUGCCGGAGCUGCUUCGGUGCCCCUGCCGAGGGUGCGAUGGAGCCUGUGCGGGACCCCAGACCUCGCUGCAGGAGAGCUGGCAAAGACGAGAGGUUACGGGGACAGCGGCUGGCACUCUCCUCUGAGUAGAUGGCCAGGUCGUCUUCGGGGGAGGCGGGUCGGUAGUGGCGAUGUGGGUUGUGGGGGUCUGUCCUCUCUCUGGUGACUCAGAGACUUCCGUGAACUUCGUCUUGUGCCGUCACCAUCUCAACCUGUGGCUUCCAAGGUCACUGCAAUAGGGGAAAUGAGGAAGGAACGAAGCUCCGGGGCUUUUUACCUCCUCCGCCAUAAGGGGACACACUCGCUUCCGCCCAUCAUCCGUGUGGGGGGCUCAAAGGCCCCAGGCUGACUUCAGCUGGAGUGAGAAAUGUAGAGCAGCACCUGCAGGGGUCUUGUGAUCUCCGCCUGGCUCUCUGCACCCCCACCUCCUCCCGCUUCCCUCUCUGCAUCCUGUAUGGGAGGAGUUUACACAGGUGGGCAGUGUUUUUUCACAUCUGUUGGGAUCCCCGGCGGCACCCCCUUUGGAACCAGCCCUGGAUCAGGCUUCCUGCAGCAGCCCCUGGUCAAGGACAGCCCAGCGUGGGCACUGAUUCGACCCCCUGUGUGAUUGGAUACCUUUAGUGGGGGACUUGGCUGGACGGACCCCCCCCCCCCCCCCCCCAGUGUGGGCAAAAUUUUCGAAGAGCCCGCUGUCCUCUGCUUUACCGCGUCCUGUGGAAGAAGACAAAAGGGGGGCAUCGCCACUAACUACAGAGAGCAGGGCGUCCAGUCUCCGUCUUGCAGGAGGAGCUGGGCCAGGCUGAAGGGAACAUUGGCCUCUUUCCUGUUGAUGGUACACAGCAGGCUCAUCCUCCAGAGAUGCCACCCGGGAGAGCCCAGCGGGGGCAGCUCUGAGGUUGCCGGCAUGGCCCAGCGUAUGGCCAACGCAGGGAAUCAGGUGCCUGGGGACUCAGGGGCCGCCUCAAGUCUAUGUGAAAGAAAUGAUAACGGGAUGCUUGUGGAUGAAGAUGGGCUUAUCUCUUGCCUACAAAGCUGGGGUUUUCCGCCAAGAUGUUUCAGUCACUUCUGCUCCUGUUUCGAUGACCAGAGCAAAUCACAGGGGAUGGCGGCCUUCCAGGAGGGGCUGAGAUGUACCAUAUUACCACGUGACCAGAAGGGAAAACCAUGAAAUAUGUGAACAGUGCUCGUGACGGUCCAUAUCCUUUCCUUCUUCUGGAUCCUUUCCUGGUUUCCGAAUUCUGCGCUUCUAAGAUGGGAGUCAGAAACUCACUGUGGUGGACAGGAUAAUACUCCACACAAAGAUGUCCACGUCUUAAUCCCCAGAACCCGAUCAACAACCCCCUUUGGCCUAUGUGGUAAUGCCUCCGAGACUUUCACCAACGUCAUGACUUCGGAUUCAGAGCAUGGUGCCACGAGUUCACCAGAACUGGGCUGCCCCCACUGAUGAGUAUUUCAGUGUCUUUUGCUAUGUGACACCCAGCGACAUACGGCCACAGCAUUUAUCUCGUGUUCACCGGCCUUCCCGGAGACUGGGUGUACGAUGGCCAGGCCGAUCUGGGCUGUGCUCUGCUGGAGGUUCUGGUUCAGCCUGCGGGUCGGGCUCAGGUCCAGGUUCUGGGCCAGAGGGACGGCAGCUCCCGCAGGGACGCUUGGGUCACGGUGGAUCACCGGAGCACAGAAGCCAGCACAAUGGCAGCCAGGCUCACUUUGUCUCUGCUCCUGUUAGGACAGCUAACACCCCAUGGACUAGAGCAGGGCACGCGGUUAAGCUGAAGCCAGGGUGUGGCAAAGAGGGGGAUGCAGGGCUGGCACUGGGGGUGCCAAGAGUUGGUCCUAAUUCAACUGUCACAAUAGAGAAGGAAGUGUAGGCUCGGGGAAAUUCAGGUUAUUUUCCUGGAUCUCAUGGUAAGUCAGUCGUAUGGGUUGAGGCCACUUCUCUAUUCGUUACCCUACGUUGCCAGCACGGCAGGCUCACGGAAACUUCCGGCAGGUAACCUUCUGUGCACUACCCCCUCAUCUUGCCCUGGCCUUGUCUUUCUGUUUCGGGGGCUUGUCUGUAUCCAAACUGCAGCGUGUCACCAGCUCAGCUGUCCGUCCAUCCCUCU